UACGAAGGGGGCUAGCGUUGCUCGGAAUCACUGGGCGUAAAGGGUGCGUAGGCGGGUCUUUAAGUCAGGGGUGAAAUCCUGGAGCUCAACUCCAGAACUGCCUUUGAUACUGAAGAUCUUGAGUUCGGGAGAGGUGAGUGGAACUGCGAGUGUAGAGGUGAAAUUCGUAGAUAUUCGCAAGGACACCAGUGGCGAAGGCGGCUCACUGGCCCGAUACUGACGCUGAGGCACGAAAGCGUGGGGAGCAA
rnacentral:rRNA from 1 species